UACGAAGGGGGCUAGCGUUGCUCGGAAUUACUGGGCGUAAAGGGCGCGUAGGCGGUUCGCUAAGUUGGAUGUGAAAACUCUGGGCUCAACCCAGAGCCUGCAUCCAAAACUGGCGGGCUAGAGUUCUGGAGGGGGUAGCGGAAUUCCUGGUGUAGCGGUGAAAUGCGUAGAUAUCAGGAGGAACACCGGUGGCGAAGGCGGCUACCUGGACAGAAACUGACGCUGAGGCGCGAAAGCUAGGGGAGCAAACAGG
rnacentral:rRNA from 1 species